rnacentral:lncRNA from 1 species
AGUUACUACGGACACCCUGCAAUACUCUCUUGACUGAAAUGCCACUGUAGUUUCAACACUUUGGAAUAACCACAUACCCAUUUGGUAUGUUGUUCUGCAUUUUUCCCAGAUGAGUCCACUCUUGGUGUUUACCUCUGCCUCCGGUUCUUCUACAAGAGUAGAGUCCAGCAUUGACUGAAGGACGACUGAAUAGAACCGAUCCUGACACCAUGUCAAAAGAGAAACUAGAGUCACUGGUCAAGAAUAUGGAGAUCAUGCUCUCUGAGGUAGAGCAGCUGAAGAUCCACUGCACCAAGCAGACGGAGGAGGUGAACCAGGUGGUACAGGAGCUGCGCCGGGAGAACAAAGAGCUGACAGAGAAAUAUGAGCACAUCUGUCAGGACUUGAAGGAAGCCAAGGAGGCUAUUGCCCAGUUGCAGGACACCAAGUUUGCAUUUGAGGCAAAGGAGCGGCAAGCACAGAAGCUCAACCGGCAGCUGUGAAGCAGUAGGAAAGAGAAGGAACCUGCUCUAAGAAUAAAGAGAAACCUUCAGCUGCUGCAACCAAAAAUCCCUGGAUCGGUAUUUUAAAGCAACUCUUUCCCUUCCUGCUCUGACUAAACCUGUGUGCUGGAAAAAAAAAAUUUUGUGGAGGCAAGAUCUCAGAUGCAGCUGGAGUUCUGCCCCAGAAGGCUCUUUUGUUAAUGACUAAAUGCCUCAUUAUGCUGGGAGGGAAAUCUUAUUCCAGAAUCCCUUGUCAGAAAUCUGAGCCACAGGCAUACAGCAACGACUGCCAGGAUCUGGGCACCUUCUCAUGCCCUGUGGGGGUUGCACAAGGACAGAAUCCAGGAAAAGAACUGUCUCUGCCUUGAGCCACUGGAGAGAGUUGUGCUGUGAGACUUCAUCGAGACAGAGGGAAGGAUCAUCGUCUUGACAGCCCCUGUUGCUCUGUUUCAUUGCUAGCUUUUUUCUGUGCACAGCCAGGCUGUGAUGCUGUCCUUAGAUGAGCGUCAGCUUCCUCGCUGGCUGACACUGAAGGGCGCCAAUGGGAGCCAACAUUGUGCCUCAAACUUCCAAGUACUUGCUAUCAAGGGCGUGUUGGUCCAGAGGAUCUUUUAAUGCUGUUGCAGUCGAUCUUGUCUUCUUUCAAUUUCAAAGUGAAGUAAAGAACUAGAAUGGUUUCUGUC